GGGGGGGGGGGGGGGGGGGGGGGGGGGGGGGAGGGGGGGGGGGAGGGGCGGGGUCGGGGGGGACGCGAGGGGCGAAGGGGGGAGUAACACGGGAGUGCCGUGCCCUGUACGUUGGGAUAACGGCAGGCAACGGGGGCUAAUACCGGAGCGGAGCCCCUGCUGCAUGGAGUGGGUUGGAAAGUUUCGGCGGGUGGGGCUGGACUCGCGGCCUAUCAGCUUGUCGGUGGGGCAGUGGCUUACCCAGGCUUUGACGGGUAGGCGGCCUGGGAGGGUGAGCGGCCACAUUGGGACUGAGAUACGGCCCAGAGUCCGACGGGAGGCAGUAGUGGGGAAGAUUGCACAAUGGGUGGAAGCCUGAUGCAGCAACGCCGUGGGCGGGAUGACGGCGUUCGGGUUGUAAAACGCUUUCGCUCAUGACGAAGCUUUGUGUGACGGUAGUGGGUAAAGAAGCACCGGCUAACUACGUG
rnacentral:rRNA from 1 species